rnacentral:lncRNA from 1 species
AUUAACCUUCAUCUACGUUUUGCGGCAAGCGAGAGACUCUGACCAAAUUGUUGUCACGAACGGCGCAGGAUCGCUUACAAGAGAUGAAUGACAUGCUAAUGCUAUUCCUUAACCUCGUUUGAGUCGUCUCCAUGCUAGUGUUAAUUUGUAACUUGCUGUUCCUGUCAACACUUUUCGUACUCUUGGUGCAUUUUUUAUAAGCUGCAAAGAAUGGAUCACCGUCUUGCAUCUUCGAAAAAGUUUCAUAAUUAGGAGGCUGAAAAGCACAAGGAGGAAGUGGAAUUUGGAAAACAUCAACAGAAUUUCUUUGGAAAUUACUUGUGUACGGAGGGGGUUGUAGCUUGUGCACAAACUUGUGCUCUCUUCGGAAACUUUCAGCAGUAGUUACCUUGGGCACACCAGGUUUUCUUUCCCAUGAGAAGGGUAUAUUUCCCUGUGAAUGAGUUCUUG